rnacentral:misc_RNA from 1 species
UAUAUUCAUAUCAUUAAAAUAGAAUAAAGAUAACAAAUUGAAUUUACACUAUGGUAUAUUUUUGAUGAAUUAUAUUUGUAGUUAUUAAAUUCUGUGAGUAAAAGAUUUCAAAUAAGAGAAAAUCAGCGGCGUGUAAUUUUGAGUUAGAACUUUCCUGUAAUUUUAGGGUUUCUAGGUAGGGAAAGGCUUUGCUUAGUGAGUUGGCUUUUGACUGGGUUUGGAUUGAGUUGUUUCUUUGGGCUUGCUAUCAAUUUCACAGUAUCAAUUUAUAAAUAUAUAAAGGAAAUUAAUUUUUUUUCAUACCUUUUUGGCAGUAGUUCCAUAUAAUUUAAGCACUUGCUUUCUCUGGGUCUCACAUUCGAAUUCGUCGAGUACAUCCUCAGCAUCAUAAAGAACAUCUUUA